GCACUCAUGGUGUAGUUGGUCAUCACAUCUGUCCAACACACGGAAGGCCGUCAGUUCGAACCUGGCUGGGUGCA